rnacentral:rRNA from 1 species
UGCCAGCCGCCGCGGUAAUACGGAGGGUGCGAGCGUUAUCCGGAAUUAUUGGGUUUAAAGGGUGUGUAGGCGGACUAUUAAGUCAGAGGUGAAAUAGCAUGGCUCAACCAUGUUGCUGCCUUUGAUACUGAUAGUCUUGAGUUUUGUAGAGGUAGGCGGAAUUUAUAAUGUAGCGGUGAAAUGCAUAGAUAUUAUAAAGAACUCCGAUAGCGAAGGCAGCUUACUUGACAAAAACUGACGCUGAUGCACGAAAGCAUGGGAGCGAAAGGGAUUAGAUA